CUUUGUAAGCCUCGGCGUCCUCGUAAAAGAGCACUAGUGUGAAAGAUACUGGGACACUUAAAAGCUUUAUCUUGGAGCCUAACUCACACAGGCCCGUUGGGCAGGCAGGCUCCAGAGACUUGGUCUUCCAAAGGCUUGGUCUUCCACCCUGACUCUUCCCUUUCCUUAGCUGUGUGUCCCCCUCCUUGCUUAACAUCUCUGUGCCUAAUUUCCUCAUUUGCAAAAUCAACAGAAGACUCCAGCUCAGAAAGUACUCCUCAGAUGAGCUCUUACUGUGUCAGUGGGGUGUCCUCGUCCUUUGGCUUAAAGCAGGAGAACAUUUCCCCAUCCCCAGGAGUCACUGGUCCGUGGUUUAUGGAGCAGGUCACUGAUGGCGUCUCUCUGGGAGAAGUGUGAGGGACUCUGUACAACUCAGCAGCAUUCCAGAUGGCGUAGGCUUCAGCACGGCCUGGGUCCUCUGGCUGCCUUGAGCUGCUAGUAUGAACAAGAAAUAGACCUUUGGGAAAAA
rnacentral:lncRNA from 1 species